rnacentral:rRNA from 1 species
UGGGGAAUCUUGCGCAAUGGGCGAAAGCCUGACGCAGCGACGCCGCGUGAAGGAUGAAGGUCUUCGGAUUGUAAACUUCUGUUAAGUGGGAAGAAAGCUUUUUAUUUAAUAGAUAAGAAGUAUGACGGUACCAUUAAAGAAAGCACCGGCUAAUCUCGUGCCAGCAGCCGCGGUAAUACGAGAGGUGCUAACGUUAUUCGGAAUUACUGGGCGUAAAGGGUGCGUAGACGGCAUAGUAAGUCAACUGUUAAAUUUUCCGGCCCAACCGGAAGCAAGCGGUAGAAACUACUAAGCUAGAGGGUGGAAGAGAGAAGUGGAAUUCUCGGAGUAGCGGUAAAAUGCGUAGAUAUCGAGAGGAACACCAAUGGCGAAGGCAGCUUCUUGGUCCAUGCCUGACGUU